rnacentral:rRNA from 1 species
AAUCCAUAGGUUAAUGAGGCGAACCGGGGGAACUGAAACAUCUAAGUACCCCGAGGAAAAGAAAUCAACCGAGAUUCCCCCAGUAGCGGCGAGCGAACGGGGAGGAGCCCAGAGCCUGAAUCAGCAUGUGUGUUAGUGGAAGCGUCUGGAAAGGCGCGCGAUACAGGGUGACAGCCCCGUACACAAAAGCGCAUGUGCUGUGAGCUCGAUGAGUAGGGCGGGACACGUGGUAUCCUGUCUGAAUAUGGGGGGACCAUCCUCCAAGGCUAAAUACUCCUGACUGACCGAUAGUGAACCAGUACCGUGAGGGAAAGGCGAAAAGAACCCCGGCGAGGGGAGUGAAAAAGAACCUGAAACCGUGUACGUACAAGCAGUGGGAGCACCCUUUGGGUGUGACUGCGUACCUUUUGUAUAAUGGGUCAGCGACUUAUAUUCUGUAGCAAGGUUAACCGAAUAGGGGAGCCGGAGGGAAACCGAGUCUUAAUUGGGCGUUAAGUUGCAGGGUAUAGACCCGAAACCCGGUGAUCUAGCCAUGGGCAGGUUGAAGGGUGGGUAACACUAACUGGAGGACCGAACCGACUAAUGUUGAAAAAUUAGCGGAUGACCUGUGGCUGGGGGUGAAAGGCCAAUCAAACCGGGAGAUAGCUGGUUCUCCCCGAAAGCUAUUUAGGUAGCGCCUCGUGAAUUCAUCUCCGGGGGUAGAGCACUGUUUCGGCUAGGGGGCCAUCCCGGCUUACCAACCCGAUGCAAACUGCGAAUACCGGAGAAUGUUAUCACGGGAGACACACGGCGGGUGCUAACGUCCGUCGUGAAGAGGGAAACAACCCAGACCGCCAGCUAAGGUCCCAAAGUCAUGGUUAAGUGGGAAACGAUGUGGGAAGGCCCAGACAGCCAGGAUGUUGGCUUAGAAGCAGCCAUCAUUUAAAGAAAGCGUAAUAGCUCACUGGUCGAGUCGGCCUGCGCGGAAGAUGUAACGGGGCUAAACCAUGCACCGAAGCUGCGGCAGCGACACUGUGUGUUGUUGGGUAGGGGAGCGUUCUGUAAGCCUGUGAAGGUGUGUCGUGAGGCAUGCUGGAGGUAUCAGAAGUGCGAAUGCUGACAUAAGUAACGAUAAAGCGGGUGAAAAGCCCGCUCGCCGGAAGACCAAGGGUUCCUGUCCAACGUUAAUCGGGGCAGGGUGAGUCGACCCCUAAGGCGAGGCCGAAAGGCGUAGUCGAUGGGAAACGGGUUAAUAUUCCCGUACUUGGUGUUACUGCGAAGGGGGGACGGAGAAGGCUAUGUUGGCCGGGCGACGGUUGUCCCGGUUUAAGCGUGUAGGUGUGUGUUCCAGGUAAAUCCGGUUCACUUUAACACUGAGGCGUGACGACGAGGCACUACGGUGCUGAAGCAACAAAUGCCCUGCUUCCAGGAAAAGCCUCUAAGCAUCAGGUAACAUCAAAUCGUACCCCAAACCGACACAGGUGGUCAGGUAGAGAAUACCAAGGCGCUUGAGAGAACUCGGGUGAAGGAACUAGGCAAAAUGGUGCCGUAACUUCGGGAGAAGGCACGCUGACACGUAGGUGAAGUGAUUUACUCAUGGAGCUGAAGUCAGUCGAAGAUACCAGCUGGCUGCAACUGUUUAUUAAAAACACAGCACUGUGCAAACACGAAAGUGGACGUAUACGGUGUGACGCCUGCCCGGUGCCGGAAGGUUAAUUGAUGGGGUCAGCGCAAGCGAAGCUCCUGAUCGAAGCCCCGGUAAACGGCGGCCGUAACUAUAACGGUCCUAAGGUAGCGAAAUUCCUUGUCGGGUAAGUUCCGACCUGCACGAAUGGCGUAAUGAUGGCCAGGCUGUCUCCACCCGAGACUCAGUGAAAUUGAACUCGCUGUGAAGAUGCAGUGUACCCGCGGCAAGACGGAAAGACCCCGUGAACCUUUACUAUAGCUUGACACUGAACAUUGAGCCUUGAUGUGUAGGAUAGGUGGGAGGCUUUGAAGUGUGGACGCCAGUCUGCAUGGAGCCGACCUUGAAAUACCACCCUUUAAUGUUUGAUGUUCUAACGUGGACCCGUUACCCGGGUUGCGGACAGUGUCUGGUGGGUAGUUUGACUGGGGCGGUCUCCUCCUAAAGAGUAACGGAGGAGCACGAAGGUUGGCUAAUCCUGGUCGGACAUCAGGAGGUUAGUGCAAUGGCAUAAGCCAGCUUGACUGCGAGCGUGACGGCGCGAGCAGGUGCGAAAGCAGGUCAUAGUGAUCCGGUGGUUCUGAAUGGAAGGGCCAUCGCUCAACGGAUAAAAGGUACUCCGGGGAUAACAGGCUGAUACCGCCCAAGAGUUCAUAUCGACGGCGGUGUUUGGCACCUCGAUGUCGGCUCAUCACAUCCUGGGGCUGAAGUAGGUCCCAAGGGUAUGGCUGUUCGCCAUUUAAAGUGGUACGCGAGCUGGGUUUAGAACGUCGUGAGACAGUUCGGUCCCUAUCUGCCGUGGGCGCUGGAGAACUGAGGGGGGCUGCUCCUAGUACGAGAGGACCGGAGUGGACGCAUCACUGGUGUUCGGGUUGUCAUGCCAAUGGCACUGCCCGGUAGCUAAAUGCGGAAGAGAUAAGUGCUGAAAGCAUCUAAGCACGAAACUUGCCCCGA